UGGGGUAGAAGCACGGUGGAGUUUGAGAGUUGAGAGUUGAAAGUCUGAAGUGGAAUCGUGAUGGGGUUCAGGAGAAGAGACUAUAUUGGAAAUGGCGAGUUCGAAUUUGGGUUUGCGGUGUAAAUUUGAACGGAAAUAGGAGCUGAGAGUGCAUAGUUUUCGAACGCGCAUCUAGGCUACAAUGUGAAGAAGAAGAAGAUGAAGAUGAAUUUGAUGUUUGCUUCAAAAAAUGAAGAAAUUGUUCUACUUUUUCUGAAUGAUUUUCGAGUUCAAGUGGGAAAUAGAAGAAGAAAGAAGAAAUGGAGUUUGCAACAAGAAACAAAAACGAAAAGGUAGCAAAAAAGAGUGUUAUGUGAAAUGUGUGUGAAUGAAUGGUGAAUAUGGUGAAGAAGCUCAUGCAAAGUUUCUUCCAAAAGUGCACAAUACAAGGUUUUAUUUAGUAUACCUAGAUGCCCGGGCACAUAGGAAAAAAUUGAACCAUAUUAGUAAAUUAUUAUAAGACUCCAAUUUAUAUAUUUCAAAAAAUCUUUUCAAAAAAAAAAUGUACAUGAAAAAAUAUUAGAAUUAGAAAUUGAUUUAAAAAUAGGUACUAUAGAAUAAAAAAUAAAGAUGGGAUUAUGAAUUGAAUUAAAAAGUAAGAUGAUACCAUCAAAUAUCAAUGUUCAAAAAAGAUAAUACCAUCAAAGUGUUGUUGGCGUUGUGGUAAGUAAGUUUUUUUUUAUAAAAUUGUGGUAAGUAAGUUGGACCUCCAUAAGAAUGAUAGUACAAAUUCGAAUAUCGAAAAAUACAUUUAUUAGUAAGGAGCAUGCAACUAUAUCCUAAACGAGUGGUAACCCACGUCAUCAUUUCAUAGUAACCCAACCGUGAAGUCGAACUGGCAUUCUCAGCUUUGAUAACAUCAGAGAAAAGUUCAAAUUCUCGAACCAUACCCAAGUCAAUUAGAUACUGAAGAAUUGGGCGGUAUGUUUGCUCUCCUAGUGGGAAACCAUAUUCCCUCAUUAAUUUGAGAAGGUGAAAAGCCUUACUCAAUUCUUCUAUAGCAAUGUCUUCAUCAUCAGCUCCCCUAGCCUUCUUUACACACAAUUGUAUCAACUUAUUGUACUCUUUCAGACCUGUUUCCCGACCCAGAUGGCCAAACACCUCAACAGUAGCUUUAGAUCCUAGUCUUUUCGCGCACAUACCAAGUAACCUGUCAGAACGGUCCUCGUUACUGUAUUUAAAUACCCAUUUUUGUUUCCUCUCACGAGAUACCUCCUUCCGCUUAACUGAAAUAUCCCCACUAGGAACAUCCGGUACCCAUGGUAUCUCUAGUAUUCUUCUGUCUUUUUCUUCUUUACCAUUUUCCUCAGAAACAAGCUUCUUUACCGGAGGCGCUACAAACAGAAACAGCGCGCGCGCGCACAAAACCGAUAUAAGAUAACAAGAAAACCAUAGCCAUAUUCGAAACCCCUACUCCCCUCAUCAUCCUAGAGUAAAAUCCAAAACUCAAACUCACACAGUAAAUUUCACAAACACUUACAAGGCAAUAUAAUAGAUGCAAGCUGAGUCGUCGCAACAUCCGAAUCAGACGAAUCCUCUGCACCAAAACAUCAAAAAACCAAAAUUGUCACACACAAAAAUAGCCCAACAACACAGAAAGCAAACAAAAACAACACUUUUUGCUCAUUCAGCUCCAGAAAACAAGACCCAUUAAAGCAAUAAACCGCAUCAAUAACUUUUAACAAAAACUAAAAUGUGGGUAUGGGUAAAAAUUGAAACUUUGAUGUGGGUUUAUAGUUUAAAGCACCUGGGGUAGAAGCACGGUGGAGUUUGAGAGUUGAGAGUUGAAAGUCUGAAGUGGAAUCGUGAUGGGGUUCAGGAGAAGAGACUAUAUUGGAAAUGGCGAGUUCGAAUUUGGGUUUGCGGUGUAAAUUUGAACGGAAAUAGGAGCUGAGAGUGCAUAGUUUUCGAACGCGCAUCUAGGCUACAAUGUGAAGAAGAAGAAGAUGAAGAUGAAUUUGAUGUUUGCUUCAAAAAAUGAAGAAAUUGUUCUACUUUUUCUGAAUGAUUUUCGAGUUCAAGUGGGAAAUAGAAGAAGAAAGAAGAAAUGGAGUUUGCAACAAGAAACAAAAACGAAAAGGUAGCAAAAAAGAGUGUUAUGUGAAAUGUGUGUGAAUGAAUG
rnacentral:lncRNA from 1 species